rnacentral:rRNA from 1 species
UAGUACCUUACUACUUGGAUAACCGUGGUAAUUCUAGAGCUAAUACAUGCUAAAAACCCCGACUUCGGAAGGGGUGUAUUUAUUAGAUAAAAAGCCAAUGCCCUCCGGGGCUCUUUGGUGAUUCAUAGUAACUUAACGGAUCGCAUGGCCUUGCGCCGGCGACGGUUCAUUCAAAUUUCUGCCCUAUCAACUUUCGAUGGUAAGGUAUUGGCUUACCAUGGUUUCAACGGGUAACGGGGAAUUAGGGUUCGAUUCCGGAGAGGGAGCCUGAGAAACGGCUACCACAUCCAAGGAAGGCAGCAGGCGCGCAAAUUACCCAAUCCCGACACGGGGAGGUAGUGACAAUAAAUACUGAUACAGGGCUCUUUUGGGUCUUGUAAUCGGAAUGAGUACAAUUUAAACCCCUUAACGAGGAACAAUUGGAGGGCAAGUCUGGUGCCAGCAGCCGCGGUAAUUCCAGCUCCAAUAGCGUAUAUUAAAGUUGUUGCAGUUAAAAAGCUCGUAGUUGAACCUUGGGCCUGGCUGGCCGGUCCGCCUCACCGCGUGUACUGGUCGGCCGGGCCUUUCCUUCUGGAGAACCCCAUGCCCUUCACUGGGUGUGCGGGGGAACCAGGACUUUUACUGUGAAAAAAUUAGAGUGUUCAAAGCAGGCCUUUGCUCGAAUACGUUAGCAUGGAAUAAUAGAAUAGGACGUGCGAUCCUAUUUUGUUGGUUUCUAGGACCGCCGUAAUGAUUAAUAGGGAUAGUCGGGGGCAUCAGUAUUCAAUUGUCAGAGGUGAAAUUCUUGGAUUUAUUGAAGACUAACUACUGCGAAAGCAUUUGCCAAGGAUGUUUUCAUUAAUCAGUGAACGAAAGUUAGGGGAUCGAAGACGAUCAGAUACCGUCGUAGUCUUAACCGUAAACUAUGCCGACUAGGGAUCGGGCGAUGUU